rnacentral:rRNA from 1 species
AGAGUUUGAUCCUGGCUCAGGAUGAACGCUGGCGGCGUGCCUAACACAUGCAAGUCGAGCGAGGGUUUGCUCAGUAUUGAGUAUUCUAAAACUAGAAUGUUCAAUUCUGAGCAAAACCAAGCGGCGGACGGGUGAGUAACGCGUGGGUAACCUGCCCUAUACACAUGGAUAACAUACUGAAAAGUUUACUAAUACAUGAUAAUAUAUAUUUGCGGCAUCGCAGAUAUAUCAAAGUGUUAGCGGUAUAGGAUGGACCCGCGUCUGAUUAGCUAGUUGGUGAGAUAACUGCCCACCAAGGCGACGAUCAGUAGCCGACCUGAGAGGGUGAUCGGCCACAUUGGAACUGAGACACGGUCCAAACUCCUACGGGAGGCAGCAGUGGGGAAUAUUGCACAAUGGGCGAAAGCCUGAUGCAGCAACGCCGCGUGAACGAUGAAGGUCUUCGGAUCGUAAAGUUCUGUUGCAGGGGAAGAUAAUGACGGUACCCUGUGAGGAAGCCCCGGCUAACUACGUGCCAGCAGCCGCGGUAAUACGUAGGGGGCUAGCGUUAUCCGGAUUUACUGGGCGUAAAGGGUGCGUAGGUGGUCCUUCAAGUCGGUGGUUAAAGGCUACGGCUCAACCGUAGUAAGCCGCCGAAACUGGAGGACUUGAGUGCAGGAGAGGAAAGUGGAAUUCCCAGUGUAGCGGUGAAAUGCGUAGAUAUUGGGAGGAACACCAGUAGCGAAGGCGGCUUUCUGGACUGCAACUGACACUGAGGCACGAAAGCGUGGGUAGCAAACAGGAUUAGAUACCCUGGUAGUCCACGCUGUAAACGAUGAGUACUAGGUGUCGGGGGUUACCCCCCUCGGUGCCGCAGCUAACGCAUUAAGUACUCCGCCUGGGGAGUAC